GCGAUAAUGACAGUGGGAGGAUUUUGCUACUCUGAUCCAGCUGUCAAUGAGGAAAAGAGAAGAAAAUGUUUGUCUGUAAAAUUUCAGUCAGGUUAUGCAAAUGAAUUUGUAGAGUGUGCUGUAAUUAUAUAUUCAAUUUGAGGCAUUCAUUGUAUCUUUGCGGCCAGAGAAGUUACAACGGUCACUGUGUGCCUUUCCUGUCGAACUGAAUUGAGGCAAAGACCUCUACGCCUCUACACCUCUACGUCGUCUUUACUGCUUGACGCUAAAGAAGAAAUUGGAGAUUUACCGACGCAUGGCUGUCAUCGCCGUCAUCAUCGUCAAGUCCUGACGUAACACUGCUCGACUCCAGACUUAAUCCGGCUCUGCACUCUCUCCGUCUCAGUUCAUCGUGACCCUCUAUUCUUCUCUGGCUGCCACACGGGAGACUGAAAAGGCUCAAUAUCAGUGACUAGUAACUCCCUUUAUCAAGCAACAUAUUGGAGCAAAUGGCCUGAGGAUCUUCACUCAAAACUCCAUCACGAGAGGGUAUUAUUGCCGAGCUGAAGAGAGGAGAAUGCUUCUCUCCAUUUGUUCACUCUCCUCGAGUGGAGACCAAUUUUCCUCUCAUUGUUUGGAAAAUGGGAGUCUGGGAGUUACGUUGCAGCUGGGCCUUUUAUCACCAACCCCCUUAUGUUUUGUCAUAUACAGUCGUGACUUAUUUUGCUAUGCUAAACUGUUCUUCUGAAGUGGCUUUCAAGGGGCUCUGACAUCACACACCUCCAGGUCGAGACACUGCAUCUAAAAAUAACUUAACGCGAUUUGAGAUGCCGUUACUAAGUGACUCUAAGUCCUGAGAUGCAUUGAGUCACCACUCAUGUGAAUUAAAUGACUUCCGUAUGGGUGUGAAAAGUCUAAGCUGGAGCAGGCAGACUUUAAAGACUUUAAAAGACAUUGUUUGUCCUAGAACAAUAGAAAACAAGGGAUUAACAGGGCUAAAGGCCCAGCGAUAUUAGAAAGAAUAAACACUAAGGAGCGCUUUUACAUUUAGAAGAGGUUGUACAGUUCGACUCGGCUUCCUACAGCGGCCUGUUUACAGCCUUGUUAUCAGGGUAAACACAGCUGCAGCUAAUACAAAUGAACAAUGGGUAGGUUAUAUGUCUAUAACAACCACAUGUACUGGCAGUUGUUUCCUGCUAAAUAUAAGUCAAACUUAGCUUUAAUUAACUUGUGACAAAUUGGUUCUGUAUUACCGUUCAGAUUUUUGUCCACAUCCUCUGUUUUCUACAGGCUUGUACAUUUGCCUUGCAAAGAUACAAAGUGAAAUAAUAGGGAUGAUUCAUCAGGGUGAAUUUCAGCCGGAUGCAAGCUGAAAAAAUGUUUUAUGUCAGUCAGUCUUGUAAAAUUGUGUUUCAGCAUAGACUCUUUAGAGAAAUACUAAAUGGUCGUUGUGGUUGCAUAGACUAAAGUAUAAUUGAGGUGAUUGAGCCAUUGUAGGAAACUGAAGGAAACAUCAGGACUAUACUUAUCGAAAUGGGCAAAUGUUAGAUGUAAGGGAAAGUGAUCUUGUUUAAGGGAAAGGUGUUGGCAAUUUGGCCUUUUAUGUUGUUCUAGUUCACUACAUGACAAUGACAUUAUUUACAGCAUACCACAAAUAAGAGUCCCAAAUCUAUUUUCCUUUCAACACUCACGGACAAACAAGCAAAUCAAUAAAAUAACUAAUUUGUGUAAAGGCAAACAAAAAUGCUUGGUGGGGUUUGUUCAAAUUCAAAUUUGUUCAAAUAUAAAUAUUAAAAAAUCUACUUUUGGAGUGAAAUAAGUGAGUUAUGUUAGGAUACGGAUAUUUACGGAAUAAUUUACUCAUUAAAAUGAGUCCCUGUUGCCCUUUGGUUUUACAUGAGACAUGAACCGAGGUCUCCUGGGUGAGAGUCCUGUGGUUGUUUGAUUCUUCAGUCACCAUGAAGCACAGUGAAGGUCAGACCUCCGACAGAAGUCGACACGCAAAUUGUUUUUGUUGCUAGAUUAAAAAUGUUGCAUAAUACGUUUCAUAAUACGUUUCACAGUCUUUCAUGGAUAUGAAAGCAUAUUCUACAGUUAAGUAGAAUGAAAUAUCCUCAUGACGCGGAUUAAGAUGCUGAGCAUGUAAUAACUGCUUGUACUUACUCCCAACUCGUCAAAUACUGCAGCUUGGUGUGUGUGGCCGAGGUUGUACUAUACGUCGUAUCUUUUUGCAAAGAAUUACAUUAUGUGAUCCUCAUAUCUGGAGAUUUGUUGGCCAACACAUUGUCCCAAACCUUCAGGUUUUACCCUCAUGAUCUGUCUCUACGGGUCUGCUCCCAAAUGGGUUCAACCAAUCCUGCAAGUCCCCUCCAAUUCCACACUUUGGUGUCGUCAAAGUUGGAGAUCUCUGCUCCUCCGGGUCUGCAGGGUGCACAGGUGUGGGACUCUCCAGAGUGUCUGUCGUUGUUCUCUGCUGGUGAUCUAAUGUGGUUGAACAUGAAUACACUCACGCAAACAAGCCUGAGGGCUCGAUCUCUAUCUUUAAAAAUAUGUGCAAAAUGUGACGGUCUUUCGUUUAAAAUUAGUAUAGAAAUCUUGAUUUUAGGACUUGACUUUUUUACAUUCUCCUUUCUGUCUGUUCAUCCUCACUGAGUUUCGGAUAAAACCCUGUUGAGCGAUAUAACCUUGAAAGGAAAUAUCUGCUGAGAAGGAUUGGGGACAAUUUUCACCGCUUUAAUUCUUCGGGCGCCUUUUGUGCCGAAUACUUCAAAUGGGAUAUUUUAAGUUUCAUUAUGUUUCUGAACUAAUAUUGAUGUUAUAUAUAUAUAUAAUAUAGAUGAAACAUUUGAUAGGACACUGUUGCUUAGUAAAAAAUACAAAUAAUCCCUGAUCCAUUUUUAUAAAAUUAGUGACUUUGUGUUUUAUGUGUAAAGCCAGGAUUAAAGUAAAGGGGAAAAAAAAACAGAUAAUAUAUGACGACAAUGGGGUUAAAAUUGUGACAGACCGAUAUUCUUUACUUUAUACUCUGAUCUGAUAAUGGUUGAGAUUCCUAAGAAGCUAUGAUGAAUGUGUGGAAAGGAAAGUAAAACCAUUCAGUUAUUCAAAAGGUACACCACAAAAGUAUUUGCCAGUUUGUCAACAUGAGCGAUAUUUAAUGGAAUGCAGCCACCGUGUUGUCGGACAUUUCUGAAGCUAUCGACUGAAACGGAUGGGACUGGAAGAGACAAGCUGCAGAGACGGCGGUAACAAUUAGACAUGGUACCUUAAAAGCUUUCUAUUUAUAGAGAGAAGAUGAGGAACUGAACACAGGUCACUGUGGCUUCCUUGUUUUGAUAAACCAACAAUAAUGCAUCACAUUUCGUUGCUAGACAUCGAUGGAAUGUCAUAGCUGAGCGACACGUAUCAUUUUGAUUGACUGAGGUGUAUGCGGCUUAAAUUACACCAGCUUAUGGAUGUUAUCUAAAAUAAUCAUUCUGUUUUGUCAUGUCGGUGGGAAAUGGGGCAACCAUUGCUAAGCUCUACAAUAAGACAAAAGAAAGAAACAAAGACUUCAGAUCAUGUUUGAAAAGUAAGAAAACAGACAUUUUCCACUUCCCCCCAAUAUGCAAAGCAUGUGAAAGAAUAAGAGUGGAUAAUAAUAUUGGAAAAAGACAAGUUGGGGAAAUACAAUUUACAGAAAUGUAGAGCAAGCUAAUAGAUUUAUGACAGAAAAGAACAGAGAAAAGGGGAAACAAAGAGAAAGCGCGAGAGCAUUUAUUAUCUAACAUAUAAAGGGAUGAAAACGCAGCCAAGCAGUCAAGGAUAACAUCUGCCAGCAGCUCUGCAAUACGUCGGAGGGACAGAGAAAGACAAAGUGACACGCACUUUGUUUGCAUAUCAAACUGAUCUUUUUCCUCCCAUAUGGACCCUGACAGAAAGCUGACAUUCAUCAUAUGAAAUCUUAAAAAGGUCACAAGUCAUAAGAUCAUAAUAGAGUAGAAUUCGACAUUGACGCUAUUGUAUGGAGUUGUGCUUUGAGAUGGACUGGCUUCCCGGAUAUAAUAGGUCCCAGACACAGAGGACAGGGAGGACUCAAACGCGGUUCGGCAGGUUUCCCAAACAAAAACUACUUUAUUCAAGCGGAAUAUCAAAAAUGCCUGAGCGCAAACCAUGAACCAAGACAGCCCACGACACACCGUACAACAUAGACAAAGACACGCAUGGUCUAAAUACACUGAAGAGGUGCAGGUGAUUGGACACUGCAGGAGAUCCGGCACACUCACAGGAGAAAACACACCAGGGCAGGAAGUGAAGUCACAUCAAGCACACGAGAGGCAGGAAACUACAAAAUAUAACGUGACAUAUAUUUAUGGUGUGCUUUAAUGAAAAUAUAGGGUAGAUUAAAGACAGAAAUGCUCCUUAAGCCCCUAGUCUGGCGGCCUACCUCUUUAGAGGACUGGAUUUACAAGGUAAUUAUGUGGGGGUAUAGUUAUAAUAUAUAUAAUAUUAUUUGAGAAUUUAAAUCAUCUGGUUUACUUCCAGCACAAGUGUUUCCCUGUGGUAGCAUCCCGUAUGUUAUUGUUAUCUAGCAAACAAGAAAAAAGGCAUUAACUUCAUAUUAGAAGUAAUACCUCAACAGCACAUCUGCGCCCCCAGCAUCCAUUUCCCAACAACUUUGACCUUCAUUACAGCUGUCAGAACAAAGUGUCCCCAGGCUUCCUGAAAUAAUAAAUUAACCCACACGUACCAAAUGAACAGCCGUUCUCAGCAGUCUUGACUGAAACAUUUCUACUACAGGGACUAUAAUUUAUAUUCUUGACUAUUUCGGAUCUCAUGGAAGAAAGUUUACAUUUGUUUAUAUAUAAAAUGCAAUCUUUCAAACGUGUUUGUACGUGGAAUACGAUUAAGGUGAAUCUGGCAGUUAAUUAUAAAAACAGUGAACAUUUGUAGUAGUAACUUGCACUGGAUUUAAGCAAAUUAGUAUGUGCUCAACUGAAAAACGUUUUUUUGGUAUGAAUUAUAAAAAUGCACUCGUCUACGUAAGAAAGACAAAAGAAAGCAACUACAAAAUGAUGCAGUACUCAUAAUGUUCAAAUAAGUUACACCGUAAUCAGUUCAUGCAGUUCAAGACCCACAAGAUACCAUCUCAUCCCCCAACACCCUGUCAUGGUGUUAUGUUUGAAUCACUGAAGCAAUUUGGAUUUGCAGAGAAUUUUUACUGGGUCAAAAUAAUAUAUCUCAGUCGAGUAUCUUCUAUUCUCACCAAUUGAGACAAAUCCCACCAGGAUAGAGGUAAGGUAAUGCCUUGAAAGGAAUAAUCUCAGACAUACAUUCUGGAAAUCUCUGCAAUUUAAAUUGUGUACUACCCAUGUUAUCCACCUUGGAUAUAAGAUUUCCAACAACCCCGACCUACUGAUUGAAUUCCUUGGAAGUGAUGAAAGUUAAAAGUUCCCUUACCACGAUUGUCCGUAUAUAAGCAAUAAAAACGGUUGCACUUCCAGGCUUUCUGAAACGUUCCCAUCUUUCUACCACUUUCUAUCUUGUAACAACUUGAUUUUGGUUUCCUAAUAUGGUAUAUUUGAGGUACUUUGGAUCAUUUAAAUAAAUUCUUUACUAGUAAAACA